rnacentral:rRNA from 1 species
GGGGAAUAUUGCACAAUGGGCGAAAGCCUGAUGCAGCAACGCCGCGUGAGUGAUGAAGGUCUUCGGAUUGUAAAGCUCUGUCUUUUGGGACGAUAAUGACGGUACCAAAGGAGGAAGCCACGGCUAACUACGUGCCAGCAGCCGCGGUAAUACGUAGGUGGCGAGCGUUGUCCGGAUUUACUGGGCGUAAAGGGUGCGUAGGCGGAUGUUUAAGUGAGAUGUGAAAUACCCGGGCUUAACUUGGGUGCUGCAUUUCAAACUGGAUAUCUAGAGUGCAGGAGAGGAGAAUGGAAUUCCUAGUGUAGCGGUGAAAUGCGUAGAGAUUAGGAAGAACACCAGUGGCGAAGGCGAUUCUCUGGACUGUAACUGACGCUGAGGCACGAAAGCGUGGGUAGCAAACAGGAUUAGAUACCCUGGUAGUCCACG